rnacentral:rRNA from 1 species
UACGGGGGGGGUAAGCGUUGUUCGGAAUUACUGGGCGUAAAGGGCUCGUAGGCGGCCAACUAAGUCAUACGUGAAAUCCCUCAGCUUAACUGGGGAACUGCGUGUGAUACUGGAUGGCUUGGAUUUGGGAGAGGGAUGCGGAAUUCCAGGUGUAGCGGUGAAAUGCGCAGAUAUCGGGAGGAACAUCAGUGGCGAAGGCGGCUAUCUGGACUAACACUGACACUGAGGACGAAAGCUAGGGGAGCGAAAGGG